ACUCAUGCGCUAAUCCCAAGUUCCCAAUUCUCCCUCCAUCUCUCUUUCGACUCUUCAUCUUCGACUUAGAAUUAGAACACCAUCACCGAGUUCGACUUUGCGGUGGAACACCGUCUUCGACUGAAGUUAUUCAUUAGAAGUCAGCAUAGGUCGAGUAAGAUAAGGGCGUUGUGGUCGAACAAGUCAAAUAGGGUGAAAAGAUUAAGAAAGACAGGAUCGGACUUGGACGUUCUUCAGGCUAUAAGCUUUGAGUGGCAGAAUAUAUGAUCACAAAAGAUAUUCAAUCUUAGGAGCUUUGAGCGUACCAAGCUGAUAUUGCAACAGUCUUGAGAAAUGUUGUUGCAGUUGCUAACCUGGGUCUAAGAGGAGUUGCAAUGCUUAAAUCAAGAGCUACAGUUGAUACAUGCUUCUCAAGGGUAUAAGAAAUGCUUGCUUGAGGGACCCAACUAUCAGUGUGCACAUCGUCUGGGCGUACACAAUUUAGGUUGGUGUGCAUCUACAUAAAGAACAAUAAGCUCAUCCUUAGACUGGAAAAGAAAUGCCUAGGAGGAUUUCUAACAACUUCUAAGGAGUACAAGAUUAUCAAUGUGAUUGAAGAAAGAAAGGAAGUUCAAGGUUUCUACUAGCUAAGACUUAACACCAAGUGGAGGUAAUAUCGAUCUGUUGUUCGAAGAUGAGUAGCAAUGUAAUGUUUGGCAAUCAACUACCUUGCACCUGUUGCAUAACCAACAAUGCCAUUCGUGAUCAAUCCCAUCAAAGAAUGAGAUCUGUCUUUUCACUGUUAUAUAUAAAUAACAUAGAUUUGAUUUGCAUUGGAGAAGUAAAGACCCUUCCUCACAAAAUGUGAGUUAUGAAUAGAAGUGCAUGUAUGUAAGAUAUGAAGAUGAAGACAUCUAUGGACAUAUAUAUGAUUAUAAAAGUAUUCAACUGAUUAAAACAUUUCAGAUUGAGAGGGCAAUACAGGGAGAGAACUGUAGACUUUAUGCAAUGAAUGCAUUGCCUUGCUUUUACUAGUCUUCUCUUGGAUACUUGGGUGGAUACAUUAGACCAAAUUUCUAUGUGUUAAUUGUAUUAUUUAUGAUAGCAAUUUGGAAGUUGUAAUAUAUUUUUAACAUAUUUGUGUAUAAAUACAGUUGGGAUGUUAUUCAAUAACAAUUUACAAAUAUUU